UGCAGCUGGUGUGUCCGUAGCCGGGCUGC
rnacentral:piRNA from 1 species